rnacentral:rRNA from 1 species
GACGGAGGGGGCAAGCGUUGCUCGGAAUCACUGGGCGUAAAGGGCGCGUAGGCGGGAUGGCAAGUCGGUCGUGAAAUCCUUCGGCUCAACCGAAGAACGUCGGCCGAUACUGCUGUUCUUGAGGGAUGCAGAGGAGAUUGGAAUUCCCGGUGUAGCGGUGAAAUGCGUAGAUAUCUGGAGGAAUACCGGUGGCGAAGGCGGCAUCCUGGACCGAAACUGACGCUGAGGCGCGAAAGCUAGGGGAGCAAACGGG